GUUCUCUGGAGUCAUUUAACAUGGAGGAGCCUGAGGCGAAUGUAUCAUUGACACAGGACCAGAACUCCUUGGUGGAGAAAGCUGUUAACAGCUUUGUGGACCUCGUUUCUAGUCAGGCAAAAGGGCUAGUAGCACGUGCGCCACAAGCAGCCACUACAUCCCGAGGAGACGUAAGGCCACCGGUGCGCCUCCAGAUACCAGCCCAACAGCAGGCGUCUUCAAUACCAGCCCCAAAUUCGGUUCAGAGAGAUAUGCAAAGGUCAUUUCCAGCAUUCUAUCAAGGGAGGAAGAGUAGAGGAAAGAGGCCUUUUCCAAGCCCCAGUGUCAUAAUUCCGGCUUGCAGACGGUGUCAGCUGACCUUUUGUUUGUUGCCCGAGAGCACUAGUAAAACUCCUAAAACGGAGACAAAUCUUCUGCAGGCAGGACUUGGAAGGCGUUCGAUUUGCAUUAUUGAGAAUGCUGAUCACGAAGAGAUUACCAGAGUCCUCACUGAAGAAUACCCGAAAAUGAGGGAACUAACGGGUGGUUGGCUGCUGUACAAAGCAACAGCUGUCCACCCUCUGUAGCAUGAGGUCUUGAGUGCAUGUUCACAAGUCUGGGUGUUGGGACAAAGCCAAAGUCUUCAAAAUACACACUUGCAGAAAAGUGUUAAGUAAUUUAAUAUCUUCCUCUUAAAAAGCAGUCAUGUGUCUUAUCCUUUUCUUAAUGAUACAUCAUGUAUUUUCUGUUUAAAGGUGGUACUGGACAAAGGAACCUUUCUGUGGUGGCCCAAGGCGCUGAAGGAUACACAGUAAAGACGCUCAAGUUGAGCUCAAACAAUGGCAAACAGCUACUCUAUAUUGUCCCUCUUCAGGAGAAAUUAGACACUGCACCUCUUCCUCAUGCUGCACAGUUCAGCAAAAUGCGAAAGUCAUGCUGCAAGACUUGUGGGAUAGCUAUGCCCCUUCCAUUGCUUGUCAUCCACAUUGAAACUUGUAGACAUGAAUCUGCCCCUGAACAGCUCCAGGAAGGUGACAUGGAGAUGCAACAAGAACAAGAUGUUAACAUCGAAGAUCAAGUCCAGUCUACCUGUCCAGUUUGUGAUGGCCAGUAUCCUGCCGUUUUCUUGCCCUAUCAUGCCAGUUCAUGUGGUGAAAGUACACCUGAGAAUCUGCCAAGUUCAUCUAGCAGUCCAGACAUCAGAGCUAUACCACAACGCAGUCAGGAAAUGCAUGGCAGCAUUUCAACUCCUGAUCUUGAUGCUGAGAGAAGGGAUUUGGACACACAUGGAGUUUGGAAAACCAUCCUUUGCCCCCAAGCAGCAGUGACCCUCUUCAAAAGAGAUUUUGCAACAAAAGGAGAUGGAACCCCCAAUCCGGGCAAACUUGGACAUCCGAGAGGACCAAGUAUCCCAAAGUAGGCAAAUACUAGCCUUCUACAAAAGCCCAGAACUUGACUGGGCUUGCCCUCUCCACUGCAUUUUACACGGUGAUGCAGCUGUUGGAGUUGGGGUCCAAAGACACUUCCUUAGCUUGGCAAUGUCUAGACUGCAGCAUGGAUUCAACAUAAACAGUGAUACAACCAACAUCACGCUCCUUUUUGAGGGCGAACAAGACCACCUCGUCCCCUCCACCUCCCAGGUCUUGCUAGAGAGUGACCUCUUUGUAAUUGCUGGAAGGAUGAUUGGGCAUUCUUUCUUGCACAGUGGCCCUUCACUUUACGGAGUCAGUGAAGCAAUAAUUCAUAUGUUGCUUCAUGGAAAUGUGGAUACUGCCACAAUUACCCUUGCUGAUGUGGCAGAGCUGGACCUUCGGGAAACUAUUGGCAUGCUUGAUGGAGAUGAAGUCCUGUCUGACCAGCAGAGGAAUGAAAUAAACAAUCUUUCCUUUUCCUGGGACCUACCUGCUGUAAACAAGGCAAAUCGCAGAUGGCUGUUCCAACAACUGAUGCAACAUGCGGUGAUUGGACGAAGAACAAAACAGAUCAAACAAAUAAAAAAGGGACUCAAGAACACGAAGAUGUGGACAUUGCUUGAAGAAAAGCCAGCAACAGCCCAGAUUGUCUUCCCUCGGCAUGCACAAAUGUUGCCCACUGCCCAGGCAAUCUUAAGUCAAAUUGUCUAGCCAGAGGAAGAUAGCGAUGAUGAAGAUUCCUACCCACUCAGCAUCCAGAACCAGACGGCUGGAUUCUUGAGGAUGUUUAUCGAGACAGCUUCUCCAUUCCACCUCGGACAGCUGACAAAGUUUUGGGUAGGGUGGGAAAUCCCUACUGGCAAGAUGGAGGUUAAAGUUGGGAAGGGGGAGUACCUAAGGUCUUCCACAUGUUUUGGAACUUUACAUGUGCCUGGGCACUUCAACAACUAUGAGGAGUUUUCUAAGCAUGUAGAGAGCUGCAUUGCAACAUGUGUUACAGGCUUUGGUCUUAUUUAGACACAGCCAGUCACUACACAUGCACUACAACAAGUGCACCUUUUUGAUGGCAUUGUUAUUUUUAUUUUACAUUACAAAAUCAGUUCUGACAUUUUAGUGUGCCUUACACUUCCUGUCUUGAUUCAAGGACACUCUCUACGUAGUUGAGUACAGCACCAUAGAUGUCUGCCCCAAAACACUGAGAUGGAGCAGUGGGAUUUAAAAGUUCAUUCAGUACUUCCAGUUCUUCAGUGCUCAAGGGAGAUGCCAGUUCAGGCACCCGUACUCCGAUUAGGUCUGUUUCGGUCAUUUCCAUGUCUGGAAAAUGGACCCCCUGUAAUAGUGUAAUGAUUAAUAACAUUGGAUUCUCUGAAU